rnacentral:rRNA from 1 species
UACGUAGGGGGCAAGCGUUGUCCGGAUUUAUUGGGCGUAAAGAGCGUGUAGGCGGCUUGGUAGGUCCGCUGUGAAAACUCGAGGCUCAACCUCGAGAUGUCGGCGGAAACCACUUGGCUAGAGUCCGGAAGAGGAGAGUGGAAUUCCUGGUGUAGCGGUGAAAUGCGUAGAUAUCGAGAGGAACACCGGUGGCGAAGGCGGCCAACUGGACGAAUACUGACGCUGAGACUCGAAAGCGUGGGGAGCAAUCAGG